GACGAACGCUGGCGGCGUGCUUAACACAUGCAAGUCGAGCGGUAAGGCCCUUCGGGGUACACGAGCGGCGAACGGGUGAGUAACACGUGAGUAACCUGCCCCUGACUCUGGGAUAAGCCGGGGAAACCCGGUCUAAUACCGGAUAUGACAUUCUCUCGCAUGGGAGGGUGUGGAAAGUUUUUUCGGUCAGGGAUGGACUCGCGGCCUAUCAGCUUGUUGGUGGGGUGAUGGCCUACCAAGGCGAUGACGGGUAGCCGGCCUGAGAGGGCGACCGGCCACACUGGGACUGAGACACGGCCCAGACUCCUGCGGGAGGCAGCAGUGGGGAAUAUUGCGCAAUGGGCGAAAGCCUGACGCAGCGACGCCGCGUGGGGGAUGACGGCCUUCGGGUUGUAAACCUCUUUUACCACUCACGCAGGCAUCCGGUUUUCCGGGUGUUGACGGUAGGUGGGGAAUAAGGACCGGCUAACUAC
rnacentral:rRNA from 1 species